CUGGUUCUCGAUCAGACGUUGACGAGUUCC
rnacentral:antisense_RNA from 1 species